GCAGUUCCCCCUGUACAGCCUGAUCACUCCCCAGACGUGGUCAGCAACGCACAGCUAUCUUGACCCACCCUUGGUAACUCCAUUUCCAAAUACUGGAUUUAUAAAUGGGUUUACGUCUCCAGCGUUCAAGCCUGCGGCGUCUCCUCUGACUUCUCUCAGACAGUAUCCUCCUCGAAGCAGGAAUCCUAGUAAAUCUCAUCUGCGGCAUGCGAUUCCUAGUGCAGAGAGGGGACCUGGGUUAUUAGAAAGUCCUUCAAUAUUUAACUUCACUGCAGAUCGAUUAAUUAAUGGUGUCCGGAGUCCACAAACAAGGCAAGCAGGUCAAACUAGAACACGGAUUCAAAACCCUUCAGCAUAUGCCAAGAGAGAGGCUGGGCCUGGGCGUGUGGAGCCAGGCAGUCUCGAAUCCUCUCCUGGUUUAGGGAGGGGAAGGAAGAAUUCCUUUGGCUACCGGAAGAAAAGGGAGGAGAAGUUUACAAGCAGCCAGACACAGUCUCCAACGCCACCAAAGCCUCCGUCGCCAAGCUUCGAGCUGGGGCUGUCCAGCUUCCCUCCAUUACCUGGAGCUGCCGGCAAUUUGAAGACAGAGGACUUGUUUGAAAACAGGCUAUCUAGCUUGAUAAUAGGACCAUCCAAAGAAAGGACCCUCAGUGCAGACGCAAGCGUGAACACCCUUCCUGUAGUGGUCUCCAGAGAGCCCUCGGUGCCGGCUUCUUGUGCUGUAUCAGCAACGUACGAGCGAUCCCCCUCCCCAGCUCAUUUACCCGAUGAUCCCAAGGUGGCGGAGAAACAGAGGGAAACCCACAGUGUGGACAGACUUCCUUCCGCCCUCACUGCGACCGCGUGUAAAUCGGUGCAGGUGAACGGAGCCGCCACGGAAUUGCGAAAGCCCAGCUACGCAGAGAUUUGUCAGAGAACGAGUAAAGAGCCUCCUUCUUCCCCAUUGCAACCCC
rnacentral:lncRNA from 1 species